rnacentral:rRNA from 1 species
CAGCCGCCGCGGUAAUACGUAGGUCCCGAGCGUUGUCCGGAUUUAUUGGGCGUAAAGCGAGCGCAGGCGGCUAGAUAAGUCUGAAGUUAAAGGCUGUGGCUUAACCAUAGUACGCUUUGGAAACUGUUUAACUUGAGUGCAAGAGGGGAGAGUGGAAUUCCAUGUGUAGCGGUGAAAUGCGUAGAUAUAUGGAGGAACACCGGUGGCGAAAGCGGCUCUCUGGCUUGUAACUGACGCUGAGGCUCGAAAGCGUGGGGAGCAAACAGGAUUAGAUACCCUGGUAGUCCACGCCGUAAACGAUGAGUGCUAGGUGUUAGACCCUUUCCGGGGUUUAGUGCCGUAGCUAACGCAUUAAGCACUCCGCCUGGGGAGUACGACCGCAAGGUUGAAACUCAAAGGAAUUGACGG